UACAGAGGGUGCAAGCGUUAAUCGGAAUUACUGGGCGUAAAGGGCGCGUAGGUGGUUUAUUAAGUGAGAUGUGAAAUCCCUGGGCUUAACCUAGGAACUGCAUCUUAUACUGAUAGACUAGAGUACUGUAGAGGGUAGUGGAAUUUCCGGUGUAGCGGUGAAAUGCGUAGAGAUCGGAAGGAACACCAGUGGCGAAGGCGGCUACCUGGACAGAUACUGACACUGAGGCGCGAGAGCGUGGGGAGCAAACAGGAUUAGAAACCCCGGUAGU
rnacentral:rRNA from 1 species